AGGAGCGGGGAGGCAAGCGCGAGGAUUGGCGGUGGAGGCUGUCGGUUUGGGUGAGGCCCGCCCCCAUGGCUGAGGGGGUGGGCGGGAUGCGGGGGUCCCUGCGGUGGCACCGGUGUCGCCUCGACGAACAGGGUAAUGGGAGUGCAGGUUCCCCGCCAGUUGUGUGGCUGCCGGCGAGGAGGGUUCCUCGGGCCUUCUCGCUCCCCAGAGUGUCCCAUAGUCCCUGAACAAGUCCAGCAGCCCCGAGGUGGCACUGGGGAGUGUGGGGCUGGAGCGGGCUGGCAGGCAUCGGGCCCUGGAGCCUGCACUCGAGGUGAGGUGAUGGGAGAGGCACCUCAGACAGACGUGGUCUGUCAGGGUCUUCAGUGCUGCCCCUUGACAGCCAGAGCUCCCUGCCUUGUGCUUGUCCUGGUGCCUUCCCUGUCCAAACAGCUCCCGUGACAUCUCUUCAGACAGGACCAAGUCCACUCUGCUCUGUGAACCUCAGCCACAUCUCUGACCUGUGUUCUCCCUGACCGGAGCCUUUCCUGAUGUGCCACCGCCACUUCCUCAACUUUUGCUGGCUCAGGGCAUUGUCUUAUCAGUUCGGGAUAAUUUUAUCAGUUUGGACUUUGCAGUUAAGCCUGGGCCUCACCUCUGCUCUCACCAGAGGUGUGUCUCGCCAGCCAGGGCUGGGAUCUCUCUGCUCUGCUCACCUUGGGACUGCGGGGGAAAAGGAACAGAGGUGGCUUGUCUUGCCUCCUCCUUCCCCACUUCGAGGACUGAGAUAAAGGGGAAAAACACGGCAAGAGAAAUUCAGACAAAGUUCAGUGAGGUGAAGUGAGAUGGAUUCUGUAAUGCAUUUGAUGAGAUAUCAAAUCCUAUCUGUUAUCCCAGGGGAAUCCUAGAUACAUCAAGCCCUGUAAACUACAUCAUCAGCAUCUUCCUCUGGAAGACAUCAUCACGCUAAUCCAUUUGUCCUAGCAGACAAAUGAUUAAAGUUUGAAAACUGAAUUAUACAUGUUGCUGCAACAGCGUAAACACAGUAUAAUGGCUCUCCUCUGUUACACCUGUAACUGCUGUUACAAUCGCUUUAAUGAGCUUUUAGCCUCGUCAUCCCAAGAGAAAAGAUCAUCACAUGACACUGUCUGCUGUAAAGGUGUUCGUGGUGCUGCUGCUGGCCCAGCACCCGCUCUGAGGAGCUGCACGGGAGGCCACAGUUGUGCUGACAGUACCUGCUGGCAAUAACCUCUCAGACGGCAACAGGAAAAAAAACCCACAAAAAUCCCCAGAAGAAUGUUUUGCAGAAGCAGGCUUGACAGACUUUAAAAGGACGCUGGAGAUUUGGGUGAGUAUGCAGGUGAUAUCAUUCUGUCCCUCUGCGCGGAUCCACUCCCAGAACUGCGAUGUAGCUAUGGCAGCGCAUUGUACUCGUGGGAUACUGACUGUUUAUGUCUCUUCCACAAAUCUUAAAACCUGUCCUUACAGAAUUUGUGUGUGGGUUUUUUGUUUGUUUGUUUUGUUAUUGUUUUGUUGUUGUUUUUUUAUUUUUUUGUAUUUUGUGCCUGUGUGCACAGUUCUGCAGUGAACUCAUCCCAAAGAGAUCUACGAGCUCCUGGCAUCUGCAUGUCCUCUGCCAGUGUUUGUGGGAAGCAGAGGGACUCAGUUUGUGUUCCCAGGCAUCCGGACUUCCCUAGGGCUGCAAGGCAUUCCUCAUCCCUGAGCUCUGCCUGCUAAUUUUCUUCCUCUCCAGGCUCUCAGUCCUUAAAAGAUUCACCAGUGAGAGGAGCCAGCAGGAUCACAACAGGUCUGGUCGACAAGGGCCAUGUCUGGGACUUUGCUGCAGCUCAGGAUGCUGUGCCUUGCCCCGCUGUGCAGUGCCAUCUCCUGGAAAGCUGUGCCAGAGCUGCUCACAUCACAACCAGAGUUUUGCUCCUGAGGCUGUUGCCUCUCACUGCUGCAAAGUUCAUCUCCUGACCCAUCAGGAGUCCCCCACCAAACUGCUCUUCCUCCAGCAGGUAUGAAGGACACUGCUCGCCCUCACUUGUGAGGUACCUUGUGGGAGAAAGUUCCCGCAUGGCUUUUUCCCUGCUCUUGAUGCUGAAUACAAAUCUCUAGGUACAAAAAGAACAGCAGAGAAGCACAAAUGAACAUCUGUAGAUGUUACUCCUCAGCUUUUGUUCCGUUUGGGCACCAGUUCCCCGUUCAGCCGAAUGUCUGCAUAUACAUUCGCCCUCUAAGUGCCCUGUUAACCUCUUUUUUCCUUGGUUUUGACUUUAAGGGACACUUUUCUCUCUCCCUCUGCAAGUUUGAUGAUCUCAUCAUGAGCAACAACCAAGCCCCUCAUCACAGUGCUCACCCUGUAUUUAAAAUAUUGCUACAUCUUUUUAAUGAGAAAAAAAUGUGUACGCGGAACUUGCACCUGAAUGCUGCUGGCUUGACUAAGCUCUAUAUUUAUCCUGAAAAGACAAGAAAAAUGGGUGGUUCCAAGAGCAACAUGUUUACUCCUAUGAAACAGUAACACAGCUUAAGUGCUUAGUCACUGAAAAAAUGCACACUGCAAUUUAAAGCCAAAGGCUGGUAUUUCAUCCAUCAUUUAGGCUAUUGUGGCACCUCCUGAGCAGCUGGGAGAUGGUGAUACUUUGGUAAUCCAGCACACACAAUGAAAUAACUAGUGCUCCAAGGUAAGGCUGUAAAAGCUGUGAUUUGAAAAAGACCAUAAUUAUGUAAAUACAAGGCCACAAUGUUCAAAAACAAGAAGAAAAGCCACCCUGACACAUGGCUGUUCACAGCUCCAUUUGGCCAUUUCUCAGUGAGGAUUCUGUGUUGCAGACUUGUCAUGAACUCACCCAGGAGCACACCAACGAACUGAAACCGCUUGGUUAGCAAAAAAGUAUUUUUUAUUAAAAUUCAUGUUUGUAAAGGAGAAAUCAUUACGCAAAUGAGGUAAACCAACACAUGUGACAUAGUUUUCUCUUUAAAAAUAAAUUUCAAUUGAGCAAUU